rnacentral:rRNA from 1 species
CCUACGGGAGGCAGCAGUAGGGAAUAUUUCACAAUGGACGAAAGCCUGAUGGAGCAACGCAGCGUGAAGGAUGAAGGCCUUCGGGUUGUAAAAUGCUUUUAUUAGAGAGAAAUAUGAUGGUAACUUAUGCCUAAGGAUCGGAUAACUACGUGCCAGCAGCCGCGGGCAUACGUAGGCUCCGAGCAUUAUCCGGAGUGACUGGGUGUAAAGAGUUGCGUAGGUGGGGUAAUAAGUAGCUAGUGAAAUCUGGGGGCUCAACCAUUCAGACUAUUAGCGAAACUGUUAAGCUCGAGACCGGUAGGGGUAAGUGGAAUUUCUAGUGUAGGAGUGAAAUCCUUAGAUAUUAGGAGGAACACCAAUAGCGUAGGCAGGUUACUG